ACAGGGAUUGCCCCAGUAACGGCGAGUGAAGCGGCAACAGCUCAAAUUUGAAAUCUGGCUUCGGCCCGAGUUGUAAUUUGUAGAGGAAGCUUUUGGUGCGGCACCUACUGAGUCCCCUGGAACGGGGCGCCAUAGAGGGUGAGAGCCCCGUAUAGUAGGACGCCUAGCCUGUGUAAAGCUCCUUCGACGAGUCGAGUAGUUUGGGAAUGCUGCUCUAAAUGGGAGGUAAAUUUCUUCUAAAGCUAAAUAUUGGCCAGAGACCGAUAGCGCACAAGUAGAGUGAUCGAAAGAUGAAAAGCACUUUGAAAAGAGGGUUAAACAGCACGUGAAAUUGUUGAAAGGGAAGCGCUUGUGACCAGACUUGCGCCGGGCGGAUCAUCCGGUGUUCUCACCGGUGCACUCCGCCCGGCUCAGGCCAGCAUCGGUUCUCGCGGGGGGAUAAAGGCUCUGGGAACGUGGCUCCUCCGGGAGUGUUAUAGCCCAGGGUGCAAUGCCCUCGUGGGGACCGAGGUUCGCGCAUCUGCAAGGAUGCUGGCGUAAUGGUCAUCAGCGACCCGUCUUGAAACACGGACCAAGGAGUCAAGGUUUUGCGCGAGUGUUUGGGUGUAAAACCCGCACGCGUAAUGAAAGUGAACGUAGGUGAGAGCUUCGGCGCAUCAUCGACCGAUCCUGAUGUAUUCGGAUGGAUUUGAGUAGGAGCGUUAAGCCUUGGACCCGAAAGAUGGUGAACUAUGCUUGGAUAGGGUGAAGCCAGAGGAAACUCUGGUGGAGGCUCGCAGCGGUUCUGACGUGCAAAUCGAUCGUCAAAUCUGAGCAUGGGGGCGAAAGACUAAUCGAACCAUC
rnacentral:rRNA from 1 species